CUUAACCGAUUUAUAUUAAAUAAAAUUUUUUUGACCGAAAGUGUUUGAUUUUAUAAUUAAUUGGGUUUAGCUCUUGUCGUUGAGUCGAGUAGGCUCGGGUAGAUUAUUUUUACGUUGUGAUAAAUUAUUCGGUGACACUUAUAUCUGUUUAACAGCUUUUUAUUUUUGAAUUAUUUUUAGGGCUAUGAUGUCGUAGAGAUUAAAAUAUCUGUUUUGGUUGUUGUUUAGAGUAAAGGGUUAAAGUUACCCACUACUAGUAAUUGUGUUACAACUUUAAUAAAUUAUUUUUUAUUCAGAUUUUGUUGUUUGGCUGUCCAGGUUCAAUUAUUAGGUUUCUUUAAUGGUUAAAUAAGUAAUAUAAAUAUAGUUUGUGUUUCUCAUUAGCUGCCUGUCUGUUUAUCAAAAACAUUUCCACUUAAAACUUUAAGUGGUAGUACCUGCUCUAUGCUUUUUGUAAAUGGCCGCAGUAUAUUGACUGUGCGAAGGUAGCAUAAUUAAUUGCCCCAUAAUUGGGGGCUUGUUUGAAUGGUUUGACAAGGUAGUAUAUAACAUUAUCUAUGUUUUUGAAAUUAAUAAUGAGGGCACAGAAUCCUCUUAGAUUAAUUAGACGGAAAGACCCCGGGAUCUUUUAUUUUUGUCUGGGGCAGAUUGUUGUUAUUCACAUAUAAAUUAGACCCUAAUAUUUAGUGCAUUGGUUUAAGUUACCCCGGGGAUAACAGUGUAAUAAUUUAUAAGAGAUCUUAUCGAAUAAAUUGCUUGCCACCUCGAUGUUGACUUAGGUUCAGGCUUAGGCGCAGUAGUCUAGGUUUAUGGUCUGUUCGACCUUAGGUAACCUCCAUGAGUUGAGUUAAGACCGGCGUGA
rnacentral:rRNA from 1 species